GUUUGAGGAUGAUGAUACAGAAAAAAUCACAGUUAUCCCUGUCUGAUAUACAAAGUGAUGAAUUCUAUGUGAUCUGACUCAUUU